rnacentral:rRNA from 1 species
GUCGAGGGGCAGCGGGAGUAGCAAUACUUGCCGGCGACCGGCGCACGGGUGCGUAACACGUAUACAAUCUACCCUUUACAGGGGGAUAGCCCUCCGAAAGGAGGAUUAAUACCCCAUAAUAAAUUGAAUGGCAUCAUUUGAUUUUGAAAGAUUUAUCGGUAAAGGAUGAGUAUGCGUCUGAUUAGCUAGUUGGAGAGGUAACGGCUCCCAAGGCGACGAUCAGUAGGGGAUCUGAGAGGACUACCCCCCACACUGGUACUGAGACACGGACCAGACUCCUACGGGAGGCAGCAGUAAGGAAUAUUGGUCAAUGGAGGCAACUCUGAACCAGCCAUGCCGCGUGCAGGAAGACGGCCCUAUGGGUUGUAAACUGCUUUUGUACGGGAGAAAACCCUUUCACGUGUGGGAGGUUGAUAGUACCGUAAGAAUAAGCAUCGGCUAACUUCGUGCCAGCAGCCGCGGUAAGACGAAGGAUGCAAGCGUUAUCCGGAUUCAUUGGGUUUAAAGGGAGCGUAGGUGGACUUGUAAGUCAGUGGUGAAAUCUCUCAGCUUAACUGAGAAACUGCCAUUGAUACUGCAGGUCUUGAGUACAGAUGAUGUGGGCGGA